rnacentral:rRNA from 1 species
AGUUCGGAUCGCAGGCUGCAACUCGCCUGCGUGAAGUUGGAAUUGCUAGUAAUCGCGGAUCAGCAUGCCGCGGUGAAUACGUUCCCGGGCCCUUGUACACACCGCCCGUCACACCAUGGGAGUUUGUAACACCCGAAGUCAGUAUCCUAACCGCAAGGGGGGAGCUGCCGAAGGUGGGGUAAGCGACUGGGGUGAAGUCGUAACAAGGUAUC